CUGCUGCCUCCCGUAGGAGUUUGGGCCGUGUCUCAGUCCCAAUGUGGCCGUCCACCCUCUCAGGCCGGCUACUGAUCGUUGCCUUGGUGAGCCGUUACCUCUCCAACUAGCUAAUCAGACGCGGGUCCAUCUCAUACCACCUCAGUUUUUCACACCAAACCAUGCGGUUUUGUGCGCUUAUGCGGUAUUAGCAGUCAUUUCUAACUGUUAUCCCCCUGUAUGAGGCAGGUUACCCACGCGUUACUCACCCGUCCG
rnacentral:rRNA from 1 species